AAGCCCAUCCCUACCGGUCAUAAGUCCACCUCUCUUUCAUUUUGUUCUUCAAAGUUCAACAAUGGACAUUCGGGAAUUGGAGGUGGACUUAUGACCGGUAGGGAUGGGCUUGAUG
rnacentral:pre_miRNA from 1 species